UUGGAGGGCAAGUCUGGUGCCAGCAGCCGCGGUAAUUCCAGCUCCAAUAGCGUAUAUUAAAGUUGUUGCAGUUAAAAAGCUCGUAGUUGAAUUUCGGGGUCUGUCCAUCGGUCGGGCUUUUUCGGUCCGCACUGUUGCGAUGGAUUCCUACCUUCUGAAUAACCGAUUUGCCAUUAAUUUGGUGGGUCGGGGAAGCAGGACUGUUACCUUGAAAAAAUUAGAGUGCUCAAAGCAGGCUAGUGCCUGAAUACAUUAGCAUGGAAUAAUAAAAUAGGACGGCAUGGUUCUAUUUUGUUGGUUUCUAGGAUCACUGUAGUGAUUAAUAGGGAUAGUUGGGGGCAUUAGUAUUCAAUUGUCAGAGGUGAAAUUCUUGGAUUUAUUGAAGACUAACUACUGCGAAAGCAUUUGCCAAGGAUGUUUUCAUUAAUCAAGAACGAAAGUUAGGAGAUCGAAGACGAUCAGAUACCGUCGUAGUCUUAACCAUAAACUAUGCCGACUAGGGAUCGGACGAUGAUAAUUUUUUAAUGACUCGUUCGGCGCCUUACGGGAAAC
rnacentral:rRNA from 1 species